GAUUCAAGCACAAGGUAGUGACGGUGACACUAGUGGUUGAACAUUUUCCAAAUCUGAAGGCAAGUAAUAUGAGUUGGCUCCCUUCUACUGUUUAGUAAUACUUGUUGUAAUGCUGUUGAGCAGGUGGAUUCUAAUCCUGUGAGCCAUCUAGGAGCCAUGCUUGGAGACAGAGGACCUCUAGGUUGGGGUGAAGCACGACUCACAUCCUGGGAGAGAAGAUGAAGAAUGGUCAGAAGCUUGAGCACCAGUUGGACACAGAGAUGAAGCAGGCAUCUGAGAAGGAGACAUUGGCUCAUCCCUUCUCCCAUCAUUCCUGCCCAUCGGAAGACAGAUGCCAGAAUGAAGAUGGAUAACUGGGGUCUCUUAAUAGAUAUGACCCAAGAGCUCAGGGUGGAAUCUCAGCUCACCAGGCCACUAAUGGAGAGGAACUGAUCAGAGGACCAUAGACUGUUUUUUAGCUAUGUCUCAGUGUUUGAGAAGGCGUUUUGAACUCUUGAAGAGGAACAACUUCAGAUCAACACUCUGAUCUCUCCUUCAACAUCAACAAAGUCUAUCAGGCCACUCACAGGUGAGGAGAGACUUCGUAGAAACUGACGCCACGGUAUCGCUCCAUGUGUUGUCUGCUGUAGAUUUCCAGAUCCUUGUAUGGAUUUACUGACACCAGAACUGAGCCAAUGUAUGUCUGAAAAGAGCCGAAAGGAAAAGCAUUACAUGAAGGCUAGCAUCUGUUUCUACAAGAGCCUUCAGAAUUACUUUGGAACCCCAGAUAUUGUUACAGGGCCAGCUUGCAACAAGGGCAUUUGGCAUGCUGCUUACCGCUUUGAAGAGAGUGACUUGGGAGUCUGAAGAAACAACCUCACAGCUAGUAAAUGUGGGAAUACAGAACUUGUAUUGGAUGGGUCCCUUUUACUGAAAAUGCUGCACUUACAUCCUUUAGUGACUGCUUUAGUGCUUUUGGACAUCCCAGCAAUGCAACUUCAGUUCUGGGUUAUUUUUGACCAUUCAUUAGAAUAUUUGGGAUCAGAGCUAAGCCUGGGUUUGUUACGACCACAACAGAAUAGCUUUAUGAAGUCAGAAGAAUACAGUAUGUGCUGGAUUUUCAGUGGUGCCGGGCACUCAGAAUUUCAGUUGAAGUUAACUGGAGCUGCAGAUGCUCAGCAACCUGAAAAUCAGGCCCUAUCUAUGCCAACAUGUCAGUACACAGAACGGGUCUGAGAAACAGGAUCAAGGGCUAUAAAAGGGGAGCUGGUGGACACCACCACAUGCAGAUCCCACACCUGCAGAACAAAAUCACUAUGUCCAGUUUUCAGAGCAAAUAUCCAAAUUCUAGUCAAAGAUCAGCACUCUGGCUGCUCUCUGCUACUCACAUAGAUC